AGAGUUUGAUCAUGGCUCAGAAUCAACGCUGGCGGCGCGCCUAACACAUGCAAGUCAAACGAGAAAGCGGGAGCAAUCUCGCAAGUAAAGUGGCGUACGGGUGAGUAACACGUGGAUUAUCUGCCCUGGAGUGGGGAAUAACGCUGGGAAACCGGCGCUAAUACCGCAUAUUCCCGAGAGGGGAAAGCAGCAAUGCGCUCGAGGAGGAGUCCGCGGCCGAUUAGCUAGUUGGCAGGGUAAAAGCCUACCAAGGCUGUGAUCGGUAGCCGGCCUGAGAGGGCACACGGCCACACUGGCACUGAAACACGGGCCAGACUCCUACGGGAGGCAGCAGUGGGGAAUCUUGCACAAUGGGGGAAACCCUGAUGCAGCGACGCCGCGUGAGCGAUGAAGCCCUUCGGGGUGUAAAGCUCUUUCGGCAGGGAAGAUUAUGACGGUACCUGCAGAAGCAGCUGCGGCUAACUACGUGCCAGCAGCCGCGGUAAUACGUAGGCAGCAAGCGUUGUUCGGAGUUACUGGGCGUAAAGGGUGUGUAGGUGGCCUGUUAAGUUCCGUGUGAAAUCUCCCGGCUCAACCGGGAGGGUGCGCGGAAAACUGGCGGGCUAGAGUACGGGAUGGGAGAGUAGAAUUCCUGGUGUAGCGGUGAAAUGCGUAGAUAUCAGGAGGAAUACCGGUGGUGUAGACGGCUCUCUGGACCGUAACUGACACUGAGACACGAAAGCGUGGGUAGCAAACAGGAUUAGAUACCCUAGUAGUCC
rnacentral:rRNA from 1 species